GGGGAAUAUUGCACAAUGGGCGCAAGCCUGAUGCAGCGACGCCGCGUGAGGGAUGAAGGCCUUCGGGUUGUAAACCUCUUUCGUCAGGGAACAAGGCACUACGUUUUGGUGGUGUUGAGGGUACCUGGAUAAGAAGCGCCGGCUAACUACGUGCCAGCAGCCGCGGUAAUACGUAGGGCGCAAGCGUUGUCCGGAAUUAUUGGGCGUAAAGAGCUCGUAGGCGGCUGGUCGCGUCUGUCGUGAAAACUUCCGGCUCAACCGGGGGCUUGCGGUGGGUACGGGCCGGCUAGAGUGCGGUAGGGGUAACUGGAACUCCUGGUGUAGCGGUGGAAUGCGCAGAUAUCAGGAAGAACACCGAUGGCGAAGGCAGGUUACUGGGCCGUUACUGACGCUGAGGAGCGAAAGCGUGGGGAGCGAACAGGAUUAGAUACCCUGGUAGUCCACGCCGUAAACGUUGGGCACUAGGUGUGAGGCUCCUUUCCGGGGGUUUUGCGCCGUAGCUAACGCAUUAAGUGCCCCGCCUGGGGAGUACGGCCGCAAGGCUA
rnacentral:rRNA from 1 species